GUGGGUAUAGCUCAAUGGUAGAGCGCGUGAUUAGCCUGGAAGAGGUCCUGGGUUCAAUCCCCAGUACCUCCA
rnacentral:tRNA from 1 species